GGUUGAUCAAAAAUGGCCUUAUCGAUUUCUAAAAAUCUCUUUAAAUAUUUCCAAACAUCUAAAAUUUACUAAUAAAAAUAAAAAUAAAAAUUUAAAAAUAUUUUAAUAAAUUUAAAAAUAAACUUAAAAAUUUUAAAUAAUAGUCGUAAAUAAAUAAGCAAAAAACCUCCUUAUAUUUUAUUUAGCGUAAACUUCAAACACCAUCUAUGUGGUUUCACACUCUCUCAUUUUAGUGCCUUGUGGUUUAAAGUGUAUCAAGUUAGUGUCUUGUGUUUCAUUUUUAUCUUUUCGCCAGCUUUUCCGUUAAUAUUUUGUUAAGUUACAUACAAAAAAACUUCGGAUACCCAACCUAGGUUUAUCGAAUAUUCACUUUAGUACUUUUAUUUUUAACUUUGUCACUGAUUUAACAAAAAAAAGUUAGUACUUUUAAUUUUAACUUUGUCACUAAUUUAACAAAAAAAAGUUAGUGAAAUCAAUAAUAAAAAGAUAAAAAUAAAAUCAUGGUAUACUAAAUUGAUGCACUUUAAACUAUAGAAUACUAAAGUGAGAAGUGUGAAACUAUAGAGGUAGUAUUUGAAGUUUUUUCUAUAUUUUAUCUAUAGGAGUUGAGCUAGAAUCCUAUCGGUAGUAAACGAGCCGUUUUACUACCGAUUUGUUUUUGAUGAUAGAACUUCCAAAUUGGCGAUCGGCUCCGUUGAACAUGAUCUAUACCACUUGAAGUGUUUAGAAAUCAAAUUUCAAAUCUUUUCGACAUCAUUUGCCUAAUGAUCAAAGGGUUUCAAAAUUUGUAAUUUUAAUGGUCGACAAGAGGCGUUUUCUCGUUUAACGGCGUAAAGAUAUCCAAAUCAAUUGAAUUUUUGACAUCAUUUGCCUAAUGAUCAAAGGGUUUCAAAAUUUGUAAUUUUAAUGGUCGACAAGAGGCGUUUUCUCGUUUAACGGCGUAAAGAUAUCCAAAUCAAUUGAAUUUUUAUUAGAAAAUUCUUUAAACUAUUUAAAACAAGACUCCUAUCAUCAUUUUUUAAAGAGUAUUCAUUUUCAGUCAUUCAUUUUUCUGUUCACUUGAUAGAUAAAAGAACAAUAUCGAAAGUGCGUGAAAUUUGAUUUCAAGAUAGUUUAAAUAGUUUAGAUCAUAUUUAACGGAGCCGAUCGUCAAUUUGGAAGGUUUAUCAUCAAAAAUAAAUCGGUAAUAAAACGGCCCAUUUACUGCCACCGGUAGUAUUCUAGCUCAACUCUUAUUUAUAGUUAUAUAUUAUUUACAUUGGGUAAGAUGUAGAU
rnacentral:lncRNA from 1 species